AGCUCGUGUCGUGUAGAUGUUGGGUUAAGUCCGUAACGAGCGCAACCCUUGUCCUUAGUUACCAGCACGUUAUGGUGGGCACUCUAAGGAGACUGCCGGUGACAAACCGGAGGAAGGUGGGGAUGACGUCAAGUCAUCAUGGCCCUUACGGCCUGGGCUACACACGUGCUACAAUGGUCGGUACAAAGGGUUGCCAAGCCGCGAGGUGGAGCUAAUCCCAUAAAACCGAUCGUAGUCCGGAUCGCAGUCUGCAACUCGACUGCGUGAAGUCGGAAUCGCUAGUAAUCGUGAAUCAGAAUGUCACGGUGAAUACGUUCCCGGGCCUU
rnacentral:rRNA from 1 species